GCAGGCCUAACACAUGCAAGUCGAGCGCUACCUUCGGGUGGAGCGGCGGACGGGUGAGUAAUGCUUGGGAAUAUGCCUUUUGGUGGGGGACAACAGUUGGAAACGACUGCUAAUACCGCAUGAUGUCUACGGACCAAAGUGGGGGACCUUCGGGCCUCACGCCAAAAGAUUGGCCCAAGUGGGAUUAGCUAGUUGGUAAGGUAAUGGCUUACCAAGGCAACGAUCCCUAGCUGGUUUGAGAGGAUGAUC
rnacentral:rRNA from 1 species